GCUGCGAUGUCCGAGUGGUUAAGGAGUUUGACUCGAAAUCAAAUGGGCUUUGCCCGCACAGGUUCGAAUCCUGUUCGCAGCG
rfam:Oryctes borbonicus contig22226, whole genome shotgun sequence.